rnacentral:rRNA from 1 species
AGAGUUUGAUCCUGUUUCAGAUCAAACGAUGGAGGUGUGCCUACGUAUGUAGCUUGAACGGAAUCGAGGGGGUUGCUCCUUGGUUUAGUGGCGCACGGGUGAUUAACUCGUGGAUAAUCUACCCGGGUAUCCGGGAUAACAUUUGGAAGGGAGUGUUAAUACCGGAUAAGCCCACGGGGUCUUCGGACCUUGCGGGAAAAGGUGGCCUCUGAAUAUGCUACUGUAUCAGGAUGAGUCCGCGUUCCAUUAGCUAGUUGGUGGGGUAAUGGCCCACCAAGGCGACGAUGGGUAGCUGGUCUGAGAGGAUGAUCAGCCACACUGGAACUGAGACACGGUCCAGACUCCUACGGGAGGCAGCAGUGGGGAAUUUUGCGCAAUGGGGGAAACCCUGACGCAGCAACGCCGCGUGAGUGAUGAAGGCCUUCGGGUCGUAAAGCUCUGUCAGAGGGAAAGAAGUGUAGGAGGGCUAAUACCCCUUUUACUUGACGGUACCCUCAAAGGAAGCACCGGCUAAUUCCGUGCCAGCAGCCGCGGUAAUACGGAGGGUGCGAGCGUUGUUCGGAUUUAUUGGGCGUAAAGCGCGUGUAGGCGGUUUUUUAAGUCUGAUGUGAAAGCCCCGGGCUCAACCUGGGAAGUGCAUUGGAAACUGGGAGACUUGAAUACGGGAGAGGGCAGUGGAAUUCCUGGUGUAGGAGUGAAAUCCGUAGAUAUCAGGAGGAACACCGGUGGCGAAGGCGGCUGCCUGGACCCGAUAUUGACGCUGAGACGCGAAAGCGUGGGGGAGCAAACAGGAUUAGAUACCCCUGGUAGUCCACGCGGUAAACGAUGAGUACUAGGGUGUC